rnacentral:rRNA from 1 species
UCAUGGCCCUUACGGCCUGGGCUACACACGUGCUACAAUGGUCGGUACAGAGGGUUGCCAAGCCGUGAGGUGGAGCUAAUCUCACAAAACCGAUCGUAGUCCGGAUCGCAGUCUGCAACUCGACUGCGUGAAGUCGGAAUCGCUAGUAAUCGCGAAUCAGAAUGUCGCGGUGAAUACGUUCCCGGGCCUUGUACACACCGCCCGUCACACCAUGGGAGUGGGUUGCACCAGAAGUAGCUAGUCUAACCUUCGGGGGGACGGUUACCACGGUGUGAUUCAUGACUGGGGUGAAGUCGUAACAAGGUAGCCGUAGGGGAA